ensembl:lincRNA
CGCCACCGGCCCCCCAGCGCACCCCCCAAGCGGAGACUGGGCUUCCUGUCGUUUUGCCAUGCACUUGUUGCAGAAACAGCCAAGGCCCCGGCUCCGGAGGAUGCGGACGGAGGAAGGCCCUGGAGCAGCCCAGCCCUGAAUGCAUCACUCUCGCCUCCUGCAACAGGUGUGUGCAGCCUCUUCUCACCGUGGUGGUGUCUGCACUGUACCUCAGCCCGGGUGAGGAUGUAAAGCCCCCCGCUCUGCACACGCGUGGUCCCGGCCGGCAGGAACCCCCAGCCCCAGCCACCCUCACAGCCAUGUCAGCCGUGGAGUAGCGCGGACACCUCCUCUCAGCUUCUCAGGGUUUCAGUCUUUUCGGGUUUUCUUCAUUUACCUUUUUUUAUGGUUUUGUGGCUGGACGUUGACAACCAAGUCACAGGCACCAUGGGGGAUCAGCAGUUGUACAAGAGCAACCAUGUGGCCCACGGUGGUGAGAACCUCUUCUACCAACAGCCACCCCUUGGUGUUCACGGCGGGCUGAACCACAGCUAUGGGAGUUCAGCCGCAGGCGGCGGAAUGGACGCCCCUCAAGCUUCGCCCAUCUCCCCCCACUUCCCCCAAGAUACUCGGGAUGGUCUGAACUUGCCUAUUGGCUCCAAAAACCUUGGUCAGAUAGAUACCUCGAGACAGGGAGGCUGGGGAGACCACACAGGGCCUGGCAACCAUGUCCAGCUCCGCGGCAACCUGACCAAUUCCAACAUGAUGUGGGGGCCUCCCGCCCAAGUGGAGCCCGCUGAUGGCUAUCAGUACACCUACUCCCAGGCCAGCGAGAUCCGAACCCAGAAGCUCACCAGCGGCGUCUUACAUAAGCUGGACUCCUUCACCCAGGUGUUUGCCAACCAAAACCUGCGAAUCCAGGUCAACAACAUGGCCCAGGUGCUGCACACCCAGUCGGCAGUGAUGGAUGGAGCCCCUGACAGUGCCCUCCGCCAGUUGCUGUCUCAGAAGCCCAUGGAGACCCCGGCAGCAGCUUUGCCAUCCCGGUACCAGCAGGUGCCGCAGCAGCCUCCCCCUGGUUUCACAGGUGGGCUGUCCAAGCCGGCCCUGCAGGUGGGGCAGCACCCUGCCCAAGGGCACCUGUAUUAUGACUACCAGCAGCCCCUGGCCCAGCUGCCGAUGCAGGGAGGACAGCCGCUGCAGGGCCCCCCGGUGCUGUCCCAGCCCGUGCCACAGACGCAGCAUCAGUAUUAUCCCCAGCACCACGCGGGACAGCAGCGUCUCUCCAUGCAGGAAAUGCAGGUGCAGCCUCCACAGCAGCAGCAGCCGCGCGCGCCUCAGCCCCAGCAGCAGCCUCGGCAAGGUCCGAUGCAGAUACCUCAGUAUUAUCAGCCCCAGCCCAUGCAGCACUUGCAAGAGCAGCAACAGACGUCGAUGCACCUGCAGCCCCCUUACUACCACAGGGACCCCCACCAGUACACCCCGGAGCAGGCACAUGCCGUGCAGCUGAUUCAGCUGGGCUCCAUGGCCCCCUACUACUACCAGGAGCCCCAGCAGGCCUACAGCCACCCGCUGUACCAGCAGAGCCACCUGCCCCAGCACCAGCUGCGGGAGGAUAGUCAGCUGAAGACUUAUUCCAGUGACAGGCAGGCCCCGGCCCUGCUGGGUUCCCAGGGGGACCCGACGCCUUCUGAUACGGGAAUGGGAGACCCGGCCAGCUCAGACCUGACCCGGGUCAGCAGCGCUCUCCCCCACCGGCCAAUCCUGUCCCCCACAAGUGGGAUUCACCUCAACAACACAGGCCCUCAGCAUCCGCAGCCGUCUCCCAGUGCCAUGUGGCCUCAGAUGCACCUACCUGAUGGGAGAGCCCAGCCAGCCUCCCCCGAGUCAAGUGGCCAACCCAAAGGAGUAUUUGGGGAGCCGUUCGAUGCCAAGGGCAAGCUGACGUGCCCCAUCUGCCUGAAGGAAUUCAAGAGCCUGCCCGCACUGAAUGGCCACAUGCGGUCCCACGGCGGGAUGAGGGCCUCCCCCAGCCUCAAACAGGAGGAAGGAGAGAAGGCCCUGCCGCCUCAGCCCCAGCAGCCACUGCCGCCUCCGCCUCCGCCGCCACCGCCACCGCAGCUCCCUCCCGAGGCAGAAAGCCUCACGCCUAUGGUCAUGCCCGUGUCUGUCCCUGUCAAGCUUCUCCCGCCCAAGCCCAGCUCUCAGGGGUUCACCAACAGCGUUGCUGCCGCCCCCUCCGCCAGAGACAAGCCAGCCAGCUCCGUGUCGGACGACGAGAUGCCCGUGCUCGUGAGGAUGACCCUCUCUCCCCCACACUCUCCCCAAGGGGCUGCCCCCCGUGCUCCCGCUGUGAGUCGCUGCUCUGCCCCCUGCCUGGGGUGGGGAUGUCCCUUUGCUUUCUCAGAGAUAGAGACAGCUCUUCCAGAGCCACUGGCCUGAACUCAGAUGUGGCAGAGCACCCCUGGCCCCCUGCCCACUGUGGCAGAGCAUCCCCAGCCCCUGCCCACUGCCCGCUGAACGCUGAUUACUCUUGCAACUAUCUGAUGAUAGCUUAGCUUGGAUUCUGGACAGCUCAAGGGGUCCCCAGGUUAGGACAGUUGAUAGCUCAGCUGACUGUCACCAAUUCGGCCACACCAGUUAAUUCAGAUGUGGACACAAGUAGCCACUACUCAGGGCACCCGACCUCCAGGCCACCUCAGACAUGGCACCAAAGAGGUCACCCUGUCAAAGCCAUCUGUUUAUCCCUCCCUUAAAGUUUUCUUUCUUCCCUGACCCCCCACCUCACACCAAGCCUGCGCCUGUGUGCUGGGCUAUGUCAGACUCAUCCUGCCCAGAGUACCUGAGUGGCCUUCGAGAGGAGGAGGUGUGAGGGGAGCUGGGGGCCAGGCAGAGUAAGAGGACCAGAACAGUCCACGAGCAGCCAGGAGGAACGGUGUAUGUUCCUGGUGCUGUCAAGGCCUCAGAAGGGGAGAGACGGAUGGGAGCCUCAGGAGGAGGCCUCCCAGGAGCACGGGAGGAAACCAGCGACAGGCAGAGGAGUCCAUGUGGCCAGGCCCCUCAGCCCAGGGACAUGAUCUGCCCCAGAGGACUCAGUCAGGAGUCCCCGUCACACGGGGUCACGGCCGGGCAGCCUGCCCCACUCACUUGAGAUGGUAGGAGAAACCAGAGAGACAGACAGUGUCUAGGGAGAAGCCCUGCAUUCUAAUCCCAGUUCAAUUUCUAGCCGGGUGGGCGAAAGACAGCUGAGUCCAGAUGCCUGCUAGGGGACACUGUGAUGCCAUCUGUCCGCUGGGUACAGUCAGGGUAGCUUCACUGCCCAGCGGGCUCACAGGCUGGCCUGUGGAAUCCUGAAAUCUGAUGUGGAGGUAGAGGAACAGGACAUUCAGGUCCAGGCGGAACCCCACAGGGGCUGUGGCCCUCAGUUUAGUAGUCAGGGUUGUAGCACAGUUAGGAGCCUGGGAGUCACCUGCGCCCAGCCUGCUGGGUGUGGGUCAUGGUGUCCUCAGCCCCUCCCUCUCCACCACUCAGCUCUUCCCUCCACACCUCGGCCCCGCCCUCCACACCUCGGCCCCGCCCUCCACACCUCAGCCCCGCCCUCACACCUCAGCCCCUCUCCUCACACUUGAGCCCCUCCCUCUCCACCACUCAGCUCUUCCCUCCACACCUCAGCCCCUCCCUCCACGCCUCAGUCCCGCCCUCCAUGCCUAAGCCACGCCCUCCACCUCAGCCCCUCCCUCCACGCCUCAGUCCCGCCCUCCAUACCUAAGCCACGCCCUCCACCUCAGCCCCUCCCUCCACGCCUCAGUCCCGCCCUCCAUACCUAAGCCACGCCCUCCACCUCAGCCCCUCCCUCCACGCCUCAGUUCCGCCCUCCAUACCUAAGCCAUGCCCUCCACUUUAGCCCCACC